rnacentral:tRNA from 2 species
GAUCCGCUAGCUCAGUUGGUAGAGCACCUGACUUUUAAUCAGGUUGUCCGGAGUUCGACCCUCCGGCGGAUCACCA